rnacentral:rRNA from 1 species
UGGGGAAUAUUGCACAAUGGGCGCAAGCCUGAUGCAGCCAUGCCGCGUGUGUGAAGAAGGCCUCGGUUGUAAAGCACUUUCAGCGAGGAGGAAGGUGGUGAACUUAAUACGUUCAUCAAUUGACGUUACUCGCAGAAGAAGCACCGGCUAACUCCGUGCCAGCAGCCGCGGUAAUACGGGGGGUGCAAGCGUUAAUCGGAAUUACUGGGCGUAAAGCGCACGCAGGCGGUUUGUUAAGUCAGAUGUGAAAUCCCCGGGCUCAACCUGGGAACUGCAUUUGAAACUGGCAAGCUAGAGUCUCGUAGAGGGGGGUAGAAUUCCAGGUGUAGCGGUGAAAUGCGUAGAGAUCUGGAGGAAUACCGGUGGCGAAGGCGGCCCCCUGGACGAAGACUGACGCUCAGGUGCGAAAGCGUGGGGAGCAAACAGGAUUAGAUACCCUGGUAGUCCACGCUGUAAACGAUGUCGAUUUUGGAGGUUGUGCCCCUUGAGGCGUGGCUUCCGGAGCUAACGCGUUAAAUCGACCGCCUGGGGAGUACGGCCGCAAGGUUAAAACUUAAAUGAAUUGCGGGUCUAGCUGUUCC